CAUUAUCCCUACUUUGAUGCCAAAAUUGUAGCUGUCUGUAUUUUAUACUAUUUUCUCCUAAUUGUAUUUUGGUUUAUAAACAGCAGACUGACCAAAGGUUGUUGACCUAUUCACAAAGUGGCCUGCACGAAGGAGACGAAAUCAACGGACAGUUGGACCAGUGUGCCUCCUCACCAUUAUUGAAAGGUAAUUAGAUAGUUUCGUACUGAGAUAAUUAAUAUUACUAAAUACAACUAAAUAAAUAAGUAGGUACUUUAGAGUAGAAUUAGUAUAGAGAGAGGAAAAGAAAAGAAAGAUAGAGAUAAAAAUAAUAUGUAAGAUUUAGAUUGAUUUGAAGGAGAGAGGUUGUUAACGGUUCUCAAAAAAAAGAAAAAAAAUAUUGAGAUAAAUAGUUCAAUUAUUGAGAAAGAGAGAAAGAAAGAUAGAGAAAGAAUAAUAAUCAUUCGAAAAAGAGAAAAGAAGUGAAAAUAAAGAAGGGUCAAGAGACAUUAUAUGAGAGAAAGAUGAAGAAAGCGAGAAGUAUUUAUGCUAGGUUUACAUUGUUGCCUAUCUUAUAUUUAUAAGGUACAAUUGACACGUCAGUUUUUCAUAUAGAGUAGUUUUGCAGCUUAUAGUUUAAUAUUAGUAUUUAUAUUUUAAAAUAGAUAGGAAUAUGUUGAUCGUCCGCAUAUAAUUGAUUCAAAUGCUUUAUUGCUUUUAUGUUUCACGCUGGAGGAAAUACAUGGUUCAUUGUGUCAAUUUUCAUCGGAGGAGGUAGAUGGAUCAUUGUGCUACGUCUCACUGGAGUCAGUUCAGUCGCAUGUAGCAUUGCAGUCAAUUGGUCAAAAUGUCAUGGCGCUAUGGGAGUGAAAACAUAAGGUGUUCGAUUUUUGGGGAAGAAAAAUGCUUGUCGAAGAUUUAUGGUCAUCCAUCAAACAGUGGUCAAGUUUUCAGUGAUGAUAUUGGCGACAUAGAUCGCAACAUUUUCGACGUGGGAUCAACCGGUUUUUUCGGUGUCCAGAAAUUAUGGUUAUAAUCGAUAAGGAGGAGAAAAAGAAAUUCGGCUGAUAUAAAGAGCGGUCAUCAUUCUAGAAUUUUGAGUUCGUGGGAUAGGUUCGGAAUGAUUGGUACGAAUGUAUUCGUGGUUGCCGAAAAACAGUGAUAGGUACGAUGUUGAAAGUCGACUCGCGAAAGGAAUGACCUAAAUCAAUCGUACUUUCAAGAUUUAUUUGAGGCUACGGGAGCUUCCCAUUAUCCUAGAAUUUUGGGAAAGUGAAAUGGAAUUGACGACUAGGAAUGUGUUUUGUAACCAUCAUCGAAGGAAAUUCUUGAAUAACAAACAAGUGAGCUAUAAAUUUGGAUUUUACGUGUGAAUACUAUUCCUAUCUAUUUUUCGAAUGGUGUGUAAUUUUGUACAGGUUUUCAGAAUUUGAAAUUUCGACGAUAUUUUGGGAAGCUGUGUUGAUUUGAAAUUCCUUAUCUUAUGGUCAUCAACGUACUGCAAAUUUUGGCGAAAACGUGUGAUGUUGAACCGGAUCUAGAUCCUAAUUUGUAGAUUUAUUCAUCGUGUACAAGGAAUAAAAUACUUCAGCGAUGUAUUUUAUCGUUCCUGAAUGCUACUUCUAAUACAGGUAAGAAGUAUUCAAAUGAUUUUUAAGUAAAUGUUUUGUGUACUAAAAUUCUUUGGUACUUCUUAGAUUUUUUGAAAAAAUAUAUGAUCGUUUUGAGUGCACAAAAGGAGCGACGUGGGACCGAAGAAUUUAGCAACCGGAUUCAUGCUUCAAUAUUGGGUGAGAGUUGAUUAAUUUAUUUAUUUAGACGCUGUUAAUUUGGAUUAUGCUCGAGAAGAAUUUUUGAAGAAAUGUGGACACGGAUAAUGUGUAUUCGAAUCGAAGAAAAUGAAGAUUUCAAAUUUCACGACGUGAUACAGCUUGGGAUAAUGGUGACGGGUAACAAACGAAGGCUACAUGUGUUUUUGAAGUAUCCAGCGUUUAUUAUCCGUAGCUGUUAUUUCCUCACACAUUCGCCAAAUAUGGGACUUGAAUUGAGAAAUGAUGGUAACGGGUAAUGAGCGAUGGGUACGUAUGGUUGUAA